AGAUGAGUGACCCAGCCUUUUUCCCAGCUCUGUGCAAAUCCCUUCCAAAGCUACACCCUCAGUUGAAAGGAUGAUCUUCCCCAGCAGAGGAGGUAAAUAAAAGGCCAGGCUCCCCUGCUAGAACCUCAAAUCAAGCUCUCAAGAUGAUAGGAGAUAUGCUGAUAAUUUGCAAGCCUUUGAUUGGCAAUCCUUUGGCUUCAUGUCAGGACAA
rnacentral:sRNA from 1 species